UAUCACAUUAUAUGUGUUACCAAGGACCUUAUAUACCCAGUAGUACGGACUGUUUCGAUACUUUAAAUUUGAAAUAUCCGUCCUCAGCCGACAGUUCAAAUUUGGAACAACAUUAUUCAUGUGUUAUUCAUUAUCUACGCGGCGGUGAAAAAUACAUGUCAGUAUAAAAUUGGAACAUUUCCAACAUUUCGAAUAGGUGUAACAAAGGCAAUUCUGGUAGCCGUACGUAACCAUUAAGAGUAAAUAGCGAGCGGGUUCCACGCGGCGAUGGCGGUCUCGGUGAUGGGGCUGAAGAUGAUUGUGUCGUCGCGGGGGUCCACGGCGAUGCCCAGACCCUGCGAGGACUUGCGUCCCACCAGGUUCACUGGCAACUCCGCACCCUCCGCUGGCGGCCCUGAAGCUAGCACUGCUGUUGAUACGCUGAACAGUCUGGAAACGAAAUAGCAAUGUCAUUAAGGUUGUGGGCAUGUUCAAUUGCCCACGGUGCUCAUAACGAUGGGUCCGCGCCCGUGACAAGGGCCUUGUUAGUCGACUCGACGACCUACAACAUUCGUCAUAAACUACAUACAAUAUGAUCGACAGUCAUAUGUAUUUAUUUAUGAUAUAGAUAACGGCGUGUCCUACCUAGAGGAAUAUUUCGCAACACCAAGUUCCUGUUAAACCACUGUAACCGAUUUAAGACGACUUGAACCUAUAGCAACUCAAAUAUACAUGCAGUAUCGAUAUAUUGUUAGAUUUUUGAAAACUGCUUGUCAACCCUUGUGGUCAAACAAUUGUCGAAUAUAGACAUCUUACAAAAUUUUAGCGUAAAAAAAUUGAUCUAAUUAGUAUAGGUAUAUAUUUAUAGUUGAAAAUAACUGUUUUUGUCUUACUUAAUUGAUUAAUUGAAGUUUUCAAAGAAUCUAACAAUAUAUCGAUACUGCAUGGAUAUUUCCCGUAACAUUACGGGCAUAGUUUUAAUUUGCGUUCUCAUUUCAAUUUUCGUGUUGUAAAUUAAUUUGUUAAGUGUCACAUUACCGGGCGGAUCUCGAGAAUAGACCAUUGUCUGUCUUCAAUUGAAUUAAACGAAUUUAGCGACCGUGAGCGAGUCAAGAUCGCUAUUUGAUCUUGAGUCGCGAAACAGCUAUUUUGAAAUAGCACGUGUUCAUAUCACGUCGUUUGUAGUAAGUAAUAAACCAGUCUAAUUGUGUCUAUCUUGACAGGCUUUAACGCCUAAAAAAGUUAACUUGUGUUAUUAAUUGUAGAAGUAGCUCGAAGCUCUUCGAAUUUCAUCGUACCUAUUAUAUGUAUAUAUUAUAUGGGUUUAUAUUUUAAGGUCGAUUAAAAAAACGAGAGCAAGUAUUUGUUGAUGAAGUCUAUCAGCUACUUAUUGACCAUCAGUAGAUAACAGGAUAGGAUUUUUCUAUUCAUAGGCAAUUUUUGGUUGCAGAAAUUAAAGUACCUUUAUUAUUAUAUGUAAGUACUUUGUGUACGUGUAGUUUUUUGUCUAAUUAAAAUCAAUUUCUAAAAAUAAA